AGAGUUUGAUCCUGNNUCAGGAUGAACGCUAGCGACAGGCCUAACACAUGCAAGUCGAGGGGUAGCACAGAAUAGCUUGCUAUUUGGGUGACGACCGGCGCACGGGUGAGUAACGCGUAUGCAACCUGCCUAUAAGAGGGGGAUAGCCUUUCGAAAGAAAGAUUAAUACCGCAUAAUACUAUUUACCUGCAUGGGUAAAUAGUUAAACUAUUUGGCUUAUAGACGGGCAUGCGUUCCAUUAGAUAGUUGGUGAGGUAACGGCUCACCAAGUCAGCGAUGGAUAGGGGUUCUGAGAGGAAGGUCCCCCACACUGGUACUGAGACACGGACCAGACUCCUACGGGAGGCAGCAGUGAGGAAUAUUGGUCAAUGGGCGAGAGCCUGAACCAGCCAAGUCGCGUGAAGGAUGAAGGUCUUAUGUAUUGUAAACUUCUUUUGUCAGGGAAUAAUGNGUGUCACGUGUGACGCAGAGGAAUGUACCUGACGAAUAAGCAUCGGCUAACUCCGUGCCAGCAGCCGCGGUAAUACGGAGGAUGCGAGCGUUAUCCGGAUUUAUUGGGNUUAAAGGGUGCGUA
rnacentral:rRNA from 1 species